GGGGAUAGCUCAAUGGUAGAGUGCCUGCUUAGCAUGCAUGAUGUCCUGGGUUCAAUCCCCAGUACCUCCA
rnacentral:tRNA from 1 species